UCCCAGACACAGGGGUGCACGCCGUGGUGCUACGUUCAAAACAAGGGGGGUCACACCGCAUCCUCCCGAAGCCAUCCGCUGCUCCCACCAGCACUCGCAGGAGCGGCGAAGACCACCCGCACCACGCAGAGCUGCCGCCCCCAGUUCCCAGUCCCCCUGGGUGUGGCACUGGUGGGGACUGGGGAGCAGCAAGCCAGCAGAGCCAGGACAGGGCCAGGAUUCCCGCUCCUGCGUGGCCCCGCACCAGACCGCAAGGGACAGAAGCAGAACCCAAAGGGGACACCGGACCAAAGGCUUUGCCACAGGGCAAAGUAUAAAGCCGGUGCCACCGAGGAAGGAGAAACAAUACCCCAGAGGAGCAUCAGCUGUUAUUCGUGAGGACAAGCCAGCAGGCACCUUGGCAAACCAGGCUGUCCCGGCACACUGGAGAACCCUGCAGUCCAGCAGGGACCAUGAAGGAGGAACACAAAUGAAGAAAUAGAGGGCUAACUUGGGCUGCAGUCUGCAAGCUCCCACUCCCAUGCCUGGUCUUUCAUCUGGAGCAAAGGGUUGUCCAAAUUAGCCUUUAAAUUACACACCAUAGCCAGGAAACAUUUGCGUUGCACAGUGCUAAGUCCAGAACCAGCACCCAAGCCCCAUCUCGCUCUGGAGCAUGCCUGGAAAUUCAACAUGAUGCUCUCCUGCAUCAGCAAUAAGUGUGAGGCUUGGGAUAACCCAAACCGAAAAGAAAGAGAGGGAUAUAGAAAACAAAGCGAAACAGACACCCUUGCCUUGAUCCGCAGGGGCUGGUGCCGUGCAGCUUUCUCCGGGACGUGGUUCAGGCGUCCGAGGUGAGGCCAGCAGGACGGGGAGUGAAUUGUACUGGCACUAUUGCACAACGCUGUUACCUUGAUACCACGUCGUGUAAAGAUUUUAAACUGCCUCUUUAUUAGUCAUCCUCUAUUCAUUUUAAUUGUGCCUGAUAAACAGGGCUAUUUCACCUUUGCAUUCUAUUGUACGCACUUAUCUUCCACGUGUAUAUCGCCGAGGAGACUUUCAAUCUUUAUUAUGGCGUAGGUAGGUGUAGAGGAAUGAACAGGCACUUCCCUCGCAGCCUGGCGGUGUUUUGGUGUCUUUGCAUGUUACAUUUUCAGAUCUCUGCUUUCCAUGCAUGGAGGUUUCUGUGGGUCCUUGAUCCCGGCGCUGAAAAUGUUUAGGCAGAGGCUUAGGUUAAUGCACAGAACCAGUGAGAAGGGACAGGCUGAUUUAAACAUGCACUUAAUUUUUCUCAGGAUCAAGUGCUGUAGGUGCGUGCUUAACACCACUGAAGUUACUUUGAUCUUCUCUGAAGACAGAAUUUCCUGCAGAUUAAGUUCUCGACUCUGAACGAUGGCAUUGGUUAUUUAACAAAAUCAAAGUUGGGAGAUGAAUAAUUAUUGAAAUUAAAGAAUAUAGCUGAAGUUUCUGGAAUGUUUUAGUCGCAUUUACUUGUAACAUGAAAAAUAUACUGCCCAAGAGUCCAUCAGUGUGAAAGUUUGUCCCUGCAGUUUCUUAUCUAACAGCUGAUGGCCCGAGCAUGUUUGUGAAUUCGGAAGUUUCACUAAAAACUCCUGGAAACAGCCGUGCAUGUUUCCUUCUGUGACAUUACAACCUUCCCCGUGCCCAAAGGCUGCCCUGUGCAGCGGGGAGCAGCAGUGCCACCUGUAAGACAACUGGGGUCAGGCUUUGUGGUCAGGUUUCUGCUGUGCCCUGUAGAAGUCACGGACGUUGCUGCUGCUCUUUGGGGUCUGUUUGCUCAGAGCUCACCUCGCUGCUUCAGGCAACACCCUGCAACCACGGGACUGCUCCUCCCGCUGGAGAUGCAUCUGUUCUCCAGGCUUAUAUAGUUUUGCCUUCAUCUUUUCACCCUCGGGUUUGCACCACAAUCACGUGAGAAGAGGGGUAAAAUCCCAUUCUCAUUUAGGUUCAGAAAAGGGAACGGAAACUCCAUUGAAGGCAGAGACAAAACCACAUUUACUCCAGUGUGAACAGGAUUUCCCCCUUGGUGUAAAAUCUUGCAUCCCUGUGAGCUGGAAGGAGCUCCUUGCUGUGCCACAGAGCAUCCUUGAGUGCCACUUUGAAUCUUUAUGCAACUGCUUAAAAGGAUUAGGGAUACAAAUGAGUUAAUCACCAUUUAGGUACAAAGUUCCAACUAAGCUUUUCAGGACCAACCAUUUUAAUUUCCAUCAUCCAGCUCCUUAUUUUACAGAAAAUACUUGCAGAUGGUUCUUGUAGAGGCAAGAGAGAGAUCUGGUGGGGUGUAUUUUCUUGUGCUAGAAUAGCAGCAUGGCCAGAAAACGAUCAGUGGGCCCAUCUGCAGGCAUGUGGAACACGUUCAUAUGUAUUUGGAAAGCUGA